CAAUGAGGUCAGUGCUCCUGCCACUCAUUAGGGAGGUUGGUCGCUGGCAGGUGGUGUGUCCUCGGGCUGCAAGAAGACAUGAAGAGGCACUCGAUUUGUUGUUCGCAUCAUCGCAGGAGCAGACUGAGGAGUGGAGUCGUCUUCUGGUCUGGAUCAGAGAAAUAACGGUUUUGAAAGGAUGGUGCAAACUAUGUGGGAAUGCCUAUGUGAUCUGAAACAAUACAAAAUGAGAAUAUUGGAAGAGACCACGAAACUUAUGAAGGUGAGCCAAAUUUUAAAAAAUUUGAAAUGUGAUAAAUGUAUCGUCAUGCACUUGCUGCAUUUUUGGUUAUUGAUAGAAAAUUUAGUAUUUUGAGAGUUAUUUAUGCACUUUAUUUUCAAAUUUCUAAAUGUCUAAGGCUAUUUAGCUCCUUUUCCAGUGGGCUGCAUGACACAGUACUUGAAAAAUUAAAUUUUUGAACAUAAUGCUACUUAGUUUUUUCAAUACAUGUUGAGAUGUUUUCAACCUUUUCUUUGAUAGUUGUUCAUGAGGAAAAUCAAAUGCCAAAAAAAUUCACAUAACUUGUCCAUUAUUCAAACAUUCCAAAUUUUGGAAUGUCAAAAAUAUAAACACCGUCACUCUACCUCCGGGUGAGUGUAGAGUCCAACAACUCCCUUUGUGUAACAACCAUACUCACUUCCAUUGGCCUAAAACGGCUUUUUUCUUUCACUUUUAGCCUCCUCAUCCACCUUUGCCUGCACUCAACUGCUGGUGGCAAUAAAGAUUCACCUUGCUGCAUCCCUUGCAGGUAUUGUGUAACAGGCUGCAGUCUGCAGCUAUUCACUGUUUGUGGCAACAACAGACACUAAACAUCUUGUUGCCAUGUCUGUGUACCCCUUCAGCACAUCUUGCCGAGAGGUCUGGAGUGAUGUCGUAAGCACCACCAUUAGCAGAGGAAUGACAAAUCUGUGCCUCUGCUGCUACUGGAUUUCAUCAAAGAUAUUGAAUGACUGGAUCACAUUUUCAUUCUGAAAAAAAGUAUUCCACAAAUUCAUCCAUAGUAACCACGCCAUCCUUGUUGAGGUCGAGUUUCUGUAAGAUACAAAUACAUAUUCUGGACUAGCAGGGAAUACAGUGGUAUUACUGACCUACUGGAAGAAGUUUAAGGUGCAACCCUCAGCUUCCAGCCAAGGAGGAAACGAAGCUUCUUACACCUCCCAGCACAACAGAAUCUUAAGUCUACUCAUAGGCUGUGAU